UAUAAAUUUAUAAUUAAUUUAAAAUCUAUUAAAUUGUGAUUUAUGAUUUUAAUGAAGUCGUAACAAGGUAACCGUAUGGGAACAUGCGGUUGGAAUUUAAAUAAAUAAUUUAUUAAAAAAAAUUAAAGAUAUGUAAAAUGAUAAAACUUUCAAAGUGUAUGGUUACUAUCAAGUUUCAUGCAUUUGUUAUUUAGGUUCGAUUCCUAACUUUGAAAAUUAUUUUUAUAAAUAUAUAUAAGAGCAUUAGAUGGAUACCUAGAUAUUUAUUACAUUAAGGACGUUUUUAAUGAAAUUUAUAAUGAAAGUAUUUAUGAUUUAUAAAGAUCCUAAGAGAAAACUUUUUCUGAAUGAAAAUAAAAAAUUUAGUGAACUGAAACAUCUAAGUAACUAAAGAAUAAAAAUCAAACGAUAUUCUGUAAGUAGUGGCGAACGAACAUGGAAAUGGGUUAUAGAUUUGAUAAAAUUAUAUAAAUAUAAAUUUAUAUAAAUGGUAUUAUAUUCCAGUGUAUUUUAAUUUUAUCAAAUAAUUGAGUAGAACGAAAUAGGUGUAAUUUUGUUUGAAGAUAAGGGAACCAUCCUUUAAGCCUAAAUAUAAUAAAUAAUCGAUAGUGAACUAGUACUGCGAAGGAAAGGUGAAAUAGAACUUACGAAAUUGAAAAGAUCUUGAAAUCUAAUGCUUAUAUCAAUUGAAGCUUCAAAAGAAGUGACAAUGUACCUUUUGUAUAAUGGACCAGUAAGUUUAUUUAUAUAGCAAGUUUAAAUCAAAAGAUGUAGACUUAGUAAAAGCGAAUUUGAAUAGAAUUUAUAAGUUAUAUAAAUAAGACCCGAAACCAAGUGAUCUAAUUAUGAAUAAGUUGACAAAAUAUUAAUUUAUUUUUGAGGACUGAACCCGUGUCUGUUGCAUAAGAUUGGGAUGAUUUGUGAUUAGGGGUGAAAGGCUAAUCAAACUUGGAGAUAGCUGGUUUUCUGUGAAAUCUAUUUACGUAAAGUGUUAAAAUUAAUAUUUUGUGGUAGAGAUAUCGAUAAAAGAGGGUUGCCCAUAAAGCUUUACCAAUUUUAAGGAAACUUCGAAUACAAAAUAUUAUUUUGAUAAUCGGACUUAUAAUGCUAAGGUUGUAGGUCGAGAGGGAAACAGCCCAGAUUGUUUAUUAAGGUCUUUAAAUUAUAAAUUUUCUCAUAAGAAAUGAAUUUUUAAAUUGUGAUAACUAAGAGUUAGGUUCAGAAGCAGCCAUUCUUUAAAGAAAGCGUAAAAGCUCAUUGGUUUAAUUUAAAAAUUCGGACGAUGUAGGGAGAUUUGAAGAAAUAUACCGAAAUAGCAAAUUUAAAUAAAUAAGUUUAAAUGGUAACAGAACGUUCUGUAUGCAAAAAGAUAAAUUGAAAAAUUUAUUAGUGUAUCAGAAGUGAUAAUACUGGUAUGAGUAAUCUAAAUAAUAUAAAAUAGGUAAUUAAUUAUUAUCGUCGAAAAUUUAAGGUUUUUAAUUUAUAAUUGUUAAACAAAAUUAAGUAAUGCGGUCUCUAAAAAUUAGGUGAAAACUGAUUUUGAUGAGUAUUAUUAAAAAGGACUUAAACAAUUAAAGGAUAUACUUUAAUUAAAUUUAAUUCAAAAAACUUUUUUAUAAAACCGUACUAAAAACCAACACAGGUAAAUGGGUAGAGUAUACUAAGACGAUAAAGUGAAUCAUAGUGAAGGAACUCGGCAAAUUAACCUUGUAACUUCGGAAGAAAAGGUUUUUAUUAAGUAUAUUACUUAAUAAAAUAAUAUAAAAGGGGGUAGCGACUGUUUAAUAAAAACACAGGACUUUGCUAAAUCGUAAGAUGAUGUAUAAGGUCUGACACCUGCCAGGAACUGUGUAGUUAAAAUUAAAGAUAAUUAUUUUUAAUAUAAGCAGCAGUAAUCGGCGGCCAUAACUCUGAUGGUCCUAAGGUAGCGAAAUUCCUUGUCAACUAAUUAUUGACGUGCAUGAAUGGUGUAACGACUUCCCCACUGUCUCCACUAUGAGCUUUGUGAAAUUGAAAUAUUCGUGAAGAUGCGAAUUAUAUAUGGUUAGACGGUAAGACCCCGUGCACCUUUACUACAAUUUUUUAUUGAUUAUUUUUAUAAAAUUGUGUAGAAUAAGUGGGAGUUUAAAUUUAGUUUUAAACAACAAUGAAAUACCACUCGUUUUAUGAUUAAUAACUAACUUUAAAAAAAAAUUUAAAGGACAUAUAUAAGAUUGGUAGUUUAACUGGGGUGGUUUUCUCCAAAAAGGUAACGGAGAAAUAUAAAGGUAAAUUAAUAAUUAUUGUUGUAAUAAUUAUUUAUGUAUAAUGGCUAAAAUUUGCUUGACUGUAAGAUUGACAAAUCAAACAGAAACGAAAGUUGAUCAUAAUGACCCGGUAAUUCUUUAUGGAAAGGUUAUCGAUCAAUGGAUAAAAGGUACGCCGGGGAUAACAGGCUGAUAAUUCUCUAGAGCUCAUAUCGACGGAAUUGUUUGGCACCUCGAUGUCGGCUCAUCACAUCCUAGAGCUGAAGAAGGUUCUAAGGGUUUGGCUGUUCGCCAAUUAAAGUGGUACGUGAGCUGGGUUUAAAACGUCGUGAGACAGUUUUGUCCCUAUCUGCCAUAUAAUAAAGAAAAGAAGAAAAGAAUAAUUCUAGUACGAGAGGACCGAAUUAGAUUGAUCAAUGGUAUAUAAGUUAUAAAUUCUCAAUUUGUAUUGCUUAGUAGCUAAAUCAAUGAAAGAUAAAUACUGAAUAAAUAUAAGUAUGAAGCUUUUUUUCUUAUUUUCUCAAAAAAAAGUAAGAGACUAUUACUUUAAUAGGCUUAAUGUUUAUAUAAAUUGCUAAUAAGUACUAAUUUUUUGUUAAAUUUAUAAAAAUAAGAUUUCGU
rnacentral:rRNA from 1 species